GGCCGGCACAGAGUCAAUUCCCAAUUUGGGGAUUUUGGCUCAUCUUUAAGGUUGGUUGCGGGGUGGGAAAACCAACACACCAGGACCACUAUUUUUAAAAUGGGAGGUUUGUCUAUGAGUUAGUUGAGGGCAGGCAGGGUCAAUGCUGGCCGCCAAAGCGUUGUGCUUUGAUAUGCGACAAAACCGCUUGCCUUCAAGGUAGCUUCCGUUAGGACUUGACUGGUUCUGUCAGUUCGCUAGUGCAGCUCAUCGCGAGUGGUGCAGUCAAAGUUUAGAGAGAAACGAUACACUGUUGGAUAAUAGAA
rnacentral:sRNA from 1 species